GAGUGGAAAGCAAGAGAGAAGCUUGGCCGCGCUUGAGACCCGGCUUCCCGACGUCCAUAUUUCCGGUGCCAGCCCCUGAUCUUUGGCAGGAACAAGUGGUGUUAUUCGACAUAACGCUUUAGCUUUUCCGGAGAAGUCAAAAAUCGCGUAACUCUUUUCCGGCUAUGUCCGAAGUGGUGAACGAUCUCGCAUCACCGAUGGCGACCACACAAGGUGCGAAUCCAUCAAAUUCCCCGGUGCUGAAUCACGUGCAGUGAAUCGCGAAGACUUGAGUUCGAAAGCCACGGCCAACUAUGAAGCUUCCCAAAAUGAUCACAUCCUAAGUAGAGGCAUGCAAACAGUGAAGGUCAAUAAAAACGGGCGACCGCUGUUUUACGCCGCACUAAACGGUGAUUGGAAGGCUGUCAAGAAAAUCCUCGAUGAUGAUCGCGAAGCAAUGACGACCGAACUUUUGACCCGAGGAGAUGCGGCCUAUUGUGUGCUCCAUGUUGCAGUUAUUGCCGCACAAGACCAAUUGGUAGAGAACCUGGUCAAGCGCAUCCCCCCAGAAUGUAAAGAUGAAAUGGCCGGGAAGGCCCUCAUUUUUGCCGCCCGGGCAGGGAGAUUAAGGAUGGUAAAAGUAUUAACAGACCAAAUUGAUACCAAAGAUCGAUAUAUACCAAAAUCCCUGGAAGAAGCUAUGGUGUUUGCUCCUAUGCAAAAGGAGGUCAUCUGGUACUUGGCCAGGCGUACAACAUCCGGCAUCA